GACGAACGCUGGCGGCGUGCUUAACACAUGCAAGUCGAACGAAGUGGCGAACGGGUGAGUAACGCGUAAUCAACCUGCCCUUCAGAGGGGGACAACAGUUGGAAACGACUGCUAAUACCGCAUACUGAAGGAGUGGAGUGGGUAUGAUUAGCUAGUUGGAGGGGUAAAGGCCCACCAAGGCGAUGAUCAGUAGCCGGUCUAGGAGGAGGAACGGCCACAUUGGGACUGAGGUACGGCCCAGACUCCUACGGGAGGCAGCAGUGGGGGAUAGUGCACAAUGGGAGAAAGCCUGAUGCAGCGACGCCGCGUGGGGGAUGAAGGCUUUCGGGUUGUAAACCUCUUUCGCUAUCGAACGGGUAGGUGGAGAAGAAGCGCCGGCUAACUACGUGCCAGCAGCCGCGGUAAUUC
rnacentral:rRNA from 1 species